AGAGCGAACGCUGGCGGCAGGCCUAACACAUGCAAGUCGAGCGCCGUAGCAAUACAGAGCGGCAGACGGGUGAGUAACGCGUGGGAACGUACCUUUUGGUUCGGAACAACACAGGGAAACUUGUGCUAAUACCGGAUAAGCCCUUACGGGGAAAGAUUUAUCGCCGAAAGAUCGGCCCGCGUCUGAUUAGCUAGUUGGUGAGGUAAUGGCUCACCAAGGCGACGAUCAGUAGCUGGUCUGAGAGGAUGAUCAGCCACAUUGGGACUGAGACACGGCCCAAACUCCUACGGGAGGCAGCAGUGGGGAAUAUUGGACAAUGGGCGCAAGCCUGAUCCAGCCAUGCCGCGUGAGUGAUGAAGGCCCUAGGGUUGUAAAGCUCUUUCGCCCGCGACGAUGAUGACGGUAGCGGGAGAAGAAGCCCGGCUAACUUCGUGCCAGCAGCCGC
rnacentral:rRNA from 1 species